rnacentral:rRNA from 1 species
AUUGAACGCUGGCGGCAGGCCUAACACAUGCAAGUCGAGCGGAUGAAGGGAGCUUGCUCCUGGAUUCAGCGGCGGACGGGUGAGUAAUGCCUAGGAAUCUGCCUGGUAGUGGGGGAUAACGUCCGGAAACGGGCGCUAAUACCGCAUACGUCCUGAGGGAGAAAGUGGGGGAUCUUCGGACCUCACGCUAUCAGAUGAGCCUAGGUCGGAUUAGCUAGUUGGUGGGGUAAAGGCCUACUAAGGCGACGAUCCGUAACUGGUCUGAGAGGAUGAUCAGUCACACUGGAACUGAGACACGGUCCAGACUCCCACGGGGGGCAGCAGUGGGGAAUAUUGGACAAUGGGCGAAAGCCUGAUCCAGCCAUGCCGCGUGUGUGAAGAAGGUCUUCGGAUUGUAAAGCACUUUAAGUUGGGAGGAAGGGCAGUAAGUUAAUACCUUGCUGUUUUGACGUUACCAACAGAAUAAGCACCGGCUAACUUCGUG